CGUUGCAGCGCUCCAGCGGCAGGGGACAGGGCAGAAACGGGGUUAACGGGCCUCUCUCUUUUGGGACAGGGCGGAGCGGGAGAACCUGGGAAGCCCGGCAGAGAUGGAAAGGGCUUACCUGGGCCUCCUGGACCAAAGGGAGACGCUGGAAUUCAGGGAUACCCCGGCAGAAAGGUAAGAAGGGGGAGCGCCCACGUCCCUAAACGAACGCGGGGGUGCUGGUGCCUUGCAGGAU
rnacentral:lncRNA from 1 species